GUACAACGAGUCGCAAGCUCGCGAGAGUAAGCUAAUCUCUUAAAGCCGUUCUCAGUUCGGACUGUAGGCUGCAACUCGCCUACACGAAGUCGGAAUCGCUAGUAAUCGCGGAUCAGCAUGCCGCGGUGAAUACGUUCCCGGGCCUUGUACACACCGCCCGUCACACCAUGGGAGUUUGUAACGCCCAAAGUCGGUGGCCUAACCUUUAUGGAGGGAGCCGCCUAAGGCGGGACAGAUGACUGGGGUGAAGUCGUAACAAGGUACC
rnacentral:rRNA from 1 species